rnacentral:rRNA from 1 species
AACGAACGCUGGCGGCGCGCUUAACACAUGCAAGUCGAACGAGAAGGCGUAGCAAUACGCUUGUACAGUGGCGAACGGGUGAGUAAUACGUGGGCGACCUACCCUCGAGUGGGGAAUAACCCGCCGAAAGGCGGGCUAAUGCCGCGUACGCUUCCAUCUUUAUGGAGGUGGAAGGAAAGCCGUGCCGUGGGCACGGCGCUCAAGGAUGGGCUCACGUCCUAUCAGCUUGUUGGAGGGUAACGGCCUACCAAGGCUCCGACGGGUAGCUGGUCUGAGAGGACGAUCAGCCACACUGGCACUGCGACACGGGCCAGACUCCUACGAGAGGCAGCAGUGAGGAAUAUUGCGCAAUGGGCGAAAGCCUGACGCAGCGACGCCGC